rnacentral:rRNA from 1 species
AGGCUUAACACAUGCAAGUCGAGCGGGCGUAGCAAUACGUCAGCGGCAGACGGGUGAGUAACGCGUGGGAACGUACCUUUUGGUUCGGAACAACACAGGGAAACUUGUGCUAAUACCGGAUAAGCCCUUACGGGGAAAGAUUUAUCGCCGAAAGAUCGGCCCGCGUCUGAUUAGCUAGUUGGUGAGGUAAUGGCUCACCAAGGCGACGAUCAGUAGCUGGUCUGAGAGGAUGAUCAGCCACAUUGGGACUGAGACACGGCCCAAACUCCUACGGGAGGCAGCAGUGGGGAAUAUUGGACAAUGGGGGCAACCCUGAUCCAGCCAUGCCGCGUGAGUGAUGAAGGCCCUAGGGUUGUAAAGCUCUUUUGUGCGGGAAGAUAAUGACGGUACCGCAAGAAUAAGCCCCGGCUAACUUCGUGCCAGCAGCCGCGGUAAUACGAAGGGGGCUAGCGUUGCUCGGAAUCACUGGGCCGUAAAGGGUGCGUAGGCGGGUCUUUAAGU